rnacentral:rRNA from 1 species
AGCGAACGCUGGCGGCAGGCUUAACACAUGCAAGUCGAACGGGCGUAGCAAUACGUCAGUGGCAGACGGGUGAGUAACGCGUGGGAACGUACCUUUUGGUUCGGAACAACACAGGGAAACUUGUGCUAAUACCGGAUAAGCCCUUACGGGGAAAGAUUUAUCGCCAAAAGAUCGGCCCGCGUCUGAUUAGCUAGUUGGUGAGGUAACGGCUCACCAAGGCGACGAUCAGUAGCUGGUCNGAGAGGAUGAUCAGCCACAUUGGGACUGAGACACGGCCCAAACUCCUACGGGAGGCAGCAGUGGGGAAUAUUGGACAAUGGGCGAAAGCCUGAUCCAGCCAUGCCGCGUGAGUGAUGAAGG